AAAUAUGUAAAACAAGCAGGGUUAACUAUAGACAAUUCACACAUUAGUAUCAUCAUGGACGUCUAUGUACGGUGGGUUGGUAUAACAGAUCCCUGUGGCAUAUUUGACAGAUAUUUGUCUAAAUGGCUGUAUAAACAAAUUCCUCGACAAUUUCUCUUCCCUCAAUAUUAUCCCAGAAAAGGAAUACUAACUUUUCUGUGAUAUUAUUUACAAAUGUGCACAUUGAUUGAAUGUGUCCUGUCCUGCGCAGUGUAUCGGCGUGGAUCAUUUAGAUUUAGAUAAACAUAAGCGAUAAACGUAUUCGAGAUUGCGACCGGAAUGUAAUUCAUGAUGUGUAUAAAUUCAAAUACAAAAUGCUACAAAGAGGACGUUAUGGAUGCAAAUUAGAAAUAAACAUCAUAGCACUACUCGAAAAAUUUGUAUGUUAGUUUUAAAACUUCCUGGAGGAAAUGUGUUCUGGAUGACCAACAACGUUAACUGUUUGGAUAUGGAUGUUCUUUUUGUAUAGUGCAGUGAGGUAUACCAACGUACGGGUCCCUCGUAAUUGUAAACUUUCGUUGUACAUUAGUUUUCGUAUUGGGUAUUCUAAUUACAGUUCCACCUAAGUCCACCGAUUUUUAUGUUCCACAAUUCGUGCUUACGACAAGCACCACUAAUGCCAACUAUAAGAGCAACCUGUAAAUGUAAAAUAGAUAUGAUGUAACGAGUAACGAUUUGAACGUGUAAUGUUAUAGUAGAUAUGAACUGUCGGGGUUGCUUUUUGAAUAAACAUUUUUACUUUGCUCGUUGAUAGAAUUUUUGACUUUUUAGGGAAAUAGCCGCUGGAUUGCGUUUUUAACAAGGCCUGCAACUUAGCAUAGCUGCUUAUAUCUACAUUAUUGUUCAAAAGUAUCGUAGAGCACAGCAUGGAAUACGUUUUCCACAAUAUGGAUGCUUUAAUUUCCUGUGAUAGUUUGCUAAAGUAAGUCAGCACUACGUUCUCUGAAAAUGAGUUGGUUUUUUUCUUGUCCUCCACUCCAAAAAUUUGCUGUAUGUAUGUUCGUACACUUUUAGUUUGUCCGGAAGUAAAUUUUUUUGCGUGUUCUGCUUCCACGGUGAUUUCCGGGGGAGUAUUUGAAAGUUCCAUUAAAUCCUCACUGGCCACUGCUAUUCAUUUUCGCGCUACCGGUCCUUAAAAUUUAAUAUCUGGCGCAAGCGUAAUUAAAAUUUUGACAGUUUAAGAAUUGUGGUUUAGGAUGUCCUGUUUUAGAUGUCGCCACAUGUGCUCAUUCCACCAUCACAAGAGCUAGAAUGAAAUUAUUCCACUUCACUAGCAGAGAAUAGGCGAGAUUCUGUUGUUAAAAAAGAAGCAAGUAUGACGUGAUUCUAAGGUAGUAGUAGAAAAAGAUAUUCCUCUCCCUCUCGACCGUAUAAGGCUGUGUAUACUAAGCAGCGAUUUAUACAAAAAAAACGUUUCAAAUUAAUCGAUGAUCACUAUACAGGCGAUCCAUCAAAAAUACGUCCGGAUUUCCCCCCUCGGUGAUCGAUACAAAGAAAUCGAUCUUUAUCACUUUCUGCGAUAUUUUUCUUCCCUAACGCAUUCAAGAGAUUAAACUGUAUACACUUCUUAAAGUGGUGUUAUUAGAGUGUAUCCACAAGUAACAUGGAAGUAUCGCUUAUUUGU